GCACUAGCCGGGGAGCCAGCGGUGCCCUGUACCUGCAAUCCGCUAUAGCAGGGGUUAAUUCUUAAACGCGGGUAUAUGAUGUAUUGUCUGACGUAAAUAAGUGACGUUGACGAUUCGGUCUCACGCAACAGGAAACCAUGAACCAUGUCAGGCGAGAAAUCGAGCAGCAUUAAGUGGAUCUUCUUGUGUGCCGUGAGGGCGCCGGAUCUGAGUUGGCUGUUUGCGU
rnacentral:SRP_RNA from 1 species